rnacentral:rRNA from 1 species
UUGAAAGGGAAACGAUUGAAGUCAGUCGUGCUGGCGCGAAAUCAACCUUCUCGUCUUGAGAUCACAUGGCGUGGCGAGCCUCAAAACCGUCACGAAGCGUGAACUCUUGGUGAAAUGGAGCACUUUCGUGUCCGCUGGUUAACAUCAAUUUCGAACGUCAUAAAAAGGCUGGAGGGAUGUGGCUCCUUCGGGAGUGUUAUAACCUUUAGCGGAAUGUGGUGUUCGGGAUUGAGGAUUGCAACGAAUACCUUUAGGGCUGUUCCACCUGGCUUCUCUUUGGUAUCCUGGUGACGACAGCUUGCUGACGUUGUUAGGAUUCGCCUUUGAACAGGCUAGAGUGUGAGCAAAUUCGUUAAGGAUGUUGACGUA